rnacentral:rRNA from 1 species
UACAGAGGUCUCGAGCGUUAGGCGGAAUCACUGGGCUUAAAGCGUGUGUAGGCGGAUCGGUAAGUACCUUGUGAAAUCCCACAGCUUAACUGUGGAACUGCUUGGUAUACUGCCAGUCUUGAGCCAGCUAGGGGCUACCGGAACAAAUGGUGGAGCGGUGAAAUGCGUAGAUAUCAGGAGGAACACCAAUUGCGAAGGCAGCUCGCUGGGACGUUACUGACGCUGAGACGCGAAAGCGUGGGGAGCAAACAGG